rnacentral:rRNA from 1 species
UACGGGGGGGGCAAGCGUUGUUCGGAAUUACUGGGCGUAAAGGGCUCGUAGGUGGCCAACUAAGUCACACGUGAAAUCCCUCGGCCUAACCGAGGAACUGCCUUUGAAACUGCUUGGCUUGAGGCCGGGAGAGGGUAGCGGAAUUCCCAGUGUAGCGGUGAAAUGCGUAGAUAUUGGGAGGAACACCAGUGGCGAAGGCGGCUACCUGGACCGGUUCUGACGCUGAGGCGCGAAAGCGUGGGGAGCAAACAGG